UGGGGAAUAUUGGACAAUGGGCGAAAGCCUGAUCCAGCGACGCCGCGUGGGUGAAGAAGGCCUGCGGGUUGUAAAGCCCUUUCAGUGGGGAAGAAAAGCCUCGUUCUAACACAACGGGGUCUUGACGUAACCCAUAAAAGAAGCACCGGCUAACUCUGUGCCAGCAGCCGCGGUAAUACAGAGGGUGCGAGCGUUAAUCGGAAUUACUGGGCGUAAAGCGCGCGUAGGCGGCUUCGCAAGUCGGAUGUGAAAUCCCCAGGCUUAACCUGGGAACUGCAUUCGAGACUGCAUUGCUAGAGUAUGGGAGAGGGAAGUGGAAUUUCCGGUGUAGCGGUGAAAUGCGUAGAUAUCGGAAGGAACAUCAGUGGCGAAAGCGACUUCCUGGACCAAUACUGACGCUCAUGUGCGAAAGCGUGGGGAGCAAACAGGAUUAGAUACCCUAGUAGUCCCUGAGCGGGCUGGCAAGGCGCAU
rnacentral:rRNA from 1 species